rnacentral:rRNA from 1 species
CCUACGGGAGGCUGCAGUGGGGAAUAUUGCGCAAUGGGCGAAAGCCUGACGCAGCGACGCCGCGUGAGGGAUGAAGGUCUUCGGAUCGUAAAACUCUGUCAGCAGGGAAGUACGGUCACUGUGCUAAUCAGCAGUGAAUUGACGGUACCUGAAAAGGAAGCACCGGCUAACUCCGUGCCAGCAGCCGCGGUAAUACGGAGGGUGCGAGCGUUAAUCGGAAUUACUGGGCUUAAAGCGAUCGUAGGCGGUAUGUCAAGUCAGGGGUGAAAGUCCCGCGCUCAACGUGGGAACUGCCUUUGAAACUGGCAGACUGGAGUAUGGGAGAGGUGAGUGGAAUUCCAGGUGUAGGAGUGAAAUGCGUAGAUAUCUGGAGGAACAUCAGUUGCGAAGGCGACUAUCUGGCACAUAACUGACGCUGAGGAGCGAAAGCGUGGGUAGCAAACAGGAUUAGAUACCCCUGUAGUC